rnacentral:rRNA from 2 species
CGUCAUUUUUAUAUUUUAUAAAAUUUUGAAAUUAUAGUAAUUAAAAUUAUUUUUAGUGAAAUAAGAAAAAAUUUUUUUAUUUAAAUUUAGUAAAUAUUUAAAAAAUUAUAAUUAAAAAAAUAGGAUUAGAUACCCUAGUAUUUAUCAAUAAAAUUAAAAGUUAGAGUAUUAAAUGAUUUAUCAUUAAAUUAAAAAAUUUUGGCAGUAUUUUUUAUAAUUAAAGGAACUUGUUUAUGAAUUGAUAAUCCACGAUAGGAUAAACUUAUUUUAAUUAAUAAUAUUUAUAUAUCUUCGUUUAUAAUUUAUUUUAAAAGAAUAGAGUUUAAAGUUUAAUUUAUUAAUGAAUUUAAAUUCAGAUCAAUAUGUAGUUAAAAAUAAGAUUAAGUGAGUUACAAUAAGUAUUUAUUUUUAAUUGGAUUUAAUAAAUUAAUUUGUUAAGGAAAGUGGAUUUAAUAGUAAAUUAAAAUAAUAUUUUUUAUUGAAUUAAGGAAAAAUAUGUACAAAUUGCCCGUCAUUCUAUUAUUGUAGACAAGUCGUAACAAGGUAAAUAUAUUGGAAAAUGUAUUUA